AGACAGCAGUCGCCGCGGUAACACGUAGGUGGCAAGCGUUGUCCGGAAUUAUUGGGCGUAAAGCGCGCGCAGGCGGAUAGGUCAGUCUGUCUUAAAAGUUCGGGGCUCAACCCCGUGAUGGGAUGGAAACUAGUAGGCUAGAGUAUCGGAGAGGAAAGCGGAAUUCCUAGUGUAGCGGUGAAAUGCGUAGAUAUUAGGAAGAACACCAGUGGCGAAGGCGGCUUUCUGGACGAAAACUGACGCUGAGGCGCGAAAGCCAGGGGAGCGAACGGGAUUAGAUACCCCCGUAGUCCCUGUCUCUUAUACA
rnacentral:rRNA from 1 species